AAAGCUUGGUUUCACAGUUUACAAAACAAGAGGAGUUUGGCGAUGUGCAAGGAAAUGGGACAGCUACUGCAGCAAUAGUGACUCAGUGUUCCUCUUUUAAUGAAUUCGCUGCAUAGAUGGAGAUGGUAGUGUGUGAAGAAUGUCCCUUCAGUUUGUGCCGCAAAGAUCACAUCAAGGUUCAAGAUUGGUUGAUGUCGUAGUUGGGUACAAAGGCAUUUGAAGUUUCAAGUUCUGCAGACUCUCCGUUUGGUUUGUCAUUGUCCAGUGCAUUCGACUUUUACUCACAGUAUUUACUAAAGGUCAUUUGAAUUGUAGCAUCUUAACAUCUCUGUCGCACGGAGGGCUCAAAUGAAGGAGCUAACAUUUGGGGCAUGUUGUAAAAGCCGAAGUCUGAUUCCUACGUGUCUCUGACGAAGGCUGUGAACGACGAAAACACAUUAAACUCCUGAAUUUUCACCACGGUUUCAGGUAAACAUAACACACUGCACUCCUUCCAAUGUGUAAAUACAGAGAAUCAUUGUUCAACUUGCUUCCUACGGACCUCUCCAUACGCAGCGCUAUGUUGAGAUAUCAAAAUCUGAGAAGGUUCGUGAAAUGGUUCCGCAUGUUGUACCACAUAUUCAAAGUACUUAAACCCUUCUUCAUACCGUUCAGCUUUUGCAAAGGCCUUAACCAAUACACCGUAUGUUACAAUGUCAGCUAUAAAGCCCUCGGCCUCCAUCUGCUUCAACAACCUUUCUGCGUCGUCACAACGCCCUGCUUGGCCAUAUGCCUCCAUGAGGGUUGUGUAGCUGCGAGUGUCGGGUACCACUCCACUGCUUUGCAUCUCCUCAAAUGUCUUCAAUGCCG
rnacentral:lncRNA from 1 species